AUUGAACGCUGGCGGUAGGCCUAACACAUGCAAGUCGAACGCGAAAGUCCUUCGGGAUGAGUAGAGUGGCGGACGGGUGAGUAACGCGUAGGAAUCUGUCCUGUAGUGGGGGAGUAACGUUUCGAAAGGAACGCUAAUACCGCAUACGCCCUACCGGGGAAAGGACGGGGAGUCUUCGGACCUCGUGCUAGAGGAGGAGCCUGCGUCGGAUUAGCUAGUUGGUGAGGUAAAGGCUCACCAAGGCGACGAUCCGUAGCUGGUCUGAGAGGAUGAUCAGCCACACCGGAACUGAGACACGGUCCGGACUCCUACGGGAGGCAGCAGUGGGGAAUAUUGCGCAAUGGGCGAAAGCCUGACGCAGCCAUACCGCGUGUGUGAAGAAGGCC
rnacentral:rRNA from 1 species